AGGCUUUUUUUAAAAGAAACUACAUCUAAAUUGCCGGAAAAAUCUUUACAGUGUUAAACGACGAACAUAUAGCAUAGUAGACAAGAGACAUACAUUAAGGUAGUAAAUUUAUGAAUACAGAAUAAAGGCGUAAUUUUAAAGGAACUGCGAAUGAGGAAAGCGCGCCAAAGUAACUGAAAUCUUAACUUGGCUUUGUUUAUUUUAUAAUACUUUGAUAUAUUUUGUCGACAUUCAUGAUUUGUGCCUAUUACCACCUAUGGAGAGAAACGCUGGAAGAAAUACGAUGUAAUUCUUAUCAGACAUUGAUAAAAGAUUUUUUCAAGUUUCAUCAGAAUGUCGGGAUUUACUGUUUGAUGCUUGCGAGUCGCUUUGAAAAGGCAUAUUUAAAUGGGGCACUUCAUCUUCUGAAGUAGAAUCAGAAUAAUAAAAUUGCUGCCCAGAAUCAUUUCUGUCCCCUUGAAAUGCGCAUAAACGUCUCCGCUUUUGACUCUGAGAGAGUGUGGCAAACUUUUUAUUUUUUCAAUUGUCCAUCAUUUCUCUGCUCUGCCGUUAUUUCUUUUAAAGUCCUUACUCUGUCAAGUUAAAAGAACACCAAUUAAUAAAAUUUACGAGGUCUAUUAACUUAACUUAUAUGUAGGUUUAUGGGCAAGUACCAGAGUCUCAUAGACAUAUUGAAAGGUUGCAGUACGAACUAGUUAACAAACAAAAUCGGAAUUUUCCAGGACAGGGAAUUAACAUUGUGUAAAAUCGAAAUCAACAUUAAAAGAUGGACUAGUGCUGCCAGAGCGUGGAUGAAAUUUACCCCCACCAUAUCUACCGUUUGGGAGCCGAAAAACAGAAGGUGCAUGAUUACCACUGUGAGUUUGUGUUUAAGCCGA